UACGUAGGGGGCAAGCGUUGUCCGGAUUUAUUGGGCGUAAAGAGCGUGUAGGCGGCUUGGUAGGUCCGCUGUGAAAACUCGAGGCUCAACCUCGAGAUGUCGGCGGAAACCACUUGGCUAGAGUCCGGAAGAGGAGAGUGGAAUUCCUGGUGUAGCGGUGAAAUGCGCAGAUAUCAGGAAGAACACCUAUGGCGAACGCAGCUCUCUGGGACGGUACUGACGCUGAGACGCGAAAGCGUGGGGAGCGAACAGG
rnacentral:rRNA from 1 species